AUUGAACGCUGGCGGCAUGCUUUACACAUGCAAGUCGAACGGUAACAGGCCGCAAGGUGCUGACGAGUGGCGCACGGGUGAGUAAUGCAUCGGAACGUGCCCAGCCGUGGGGGAUAACUACUCGAAAGAGUAGCUAAUACCGCAUACGAUCUAUGGAUGAAAGCGGGGGACCGUAAGGCCUCGCGCGAUUGGAGCGGCCGAUGUCAGAUUAGGUAGUUGGUGGGGUAAAGGCUCACCAAGCCAACGAUCUGUAGCUGGUCUGAGAGGACGACCAGCCACACUGGGACUGAGACACGGCCCAGACUCCUACGGGAGGCAGCAGUGGGGAAUUUUGGACAAUGGGCGCAAGCCUGAUCCAGCAAUGCCGCGUGCAGGAAGAAGGCCUUCGGGUUGUAAACUGCUUUUGUACGGAACGAAACGGCUCUGGUUAAUACCCGGGGCUAAUGACGGUACCGUAAGAAUAAGCACCGGCUAACUACGUG
rnacentral:rRNA from 1 species